rnacentral:rRNA from 1 species
CGCGGCCUAUCAGCUUGUUGGUAAGGUAAUGGCUUACCAAGGCUACGACGGGUAGAUGGUCUGAGAGGAUGAUCAUCCACGAUGAGACUGAGACACGGCUCAUACUCCUACGGGAGGCAGCAGUAGGGAAUCUUCCACAAUGGGCGAAAGCCUGAUGGAGCAACACCGCGUGAUCGAUGAAGCCUUUAGGGGUGUAAAGAUCUUUUCUGGGGGAAGAAUUCUGACGGUACCCUAGGAAUAAGGACCGGCUAACUCCGUGCCAGCAGCCGCGGUAAUACGGAGGGUCCAAGCGUUAUCCGGAAUCAUUGGGCGUAAAGCGUCCGCAGGUUGUUUGUUAAGUCAGAUGUUAAAGGCAGCGGCUCAACCGUUGUAAUGUAUCCGAAACUGACAAACUAGAGACUUGUAGAGGUAAGCAGAAUUCUGCAUGUAGGGGUAAAAUCCGUUGAUAUGCAGAGGAAUACCAAAAGCGAAGGCAGCUUACUGGGCAAGUUCUGACACUCAUGGACGAAAGCGUGGGGAGCGAACGGGAUUAGAUACCCCGGUAGUCCACGCCGUAAACGAUGGAUACUCGGUGUUGUAUUGUUCAAUCGAUACAGUGCCUUAGCUAACGCGUUAAGUACCCCGCCUGGGGAGUACGG